rnacentral:rRNA from 1 species
GACGAACGCUGGCGGCGUGCUUAACACAUGCAAGUCGAACGAUGAAGCCGCUUCGGUGGUGGAUUAGUGGCGAACGGGUGAGUAACACGUGGGCAAUCUGCCCUGUACUUCGGGAUAAGCCUUGGAAACGGGGUCUAAUACCGGAUGGGACUGCCGGCCGCAUGGUCUGGUGGUGGAAAGCCCCGGCGGUACAGGAUGAGCUCGCGGCCUAUCAGCUUGUUGGUGGGGUGAUGGCCUACCAAGGCGACGACGGGUAGCCGGCCUGAGGGGGGGACCGGCCACACUGGGACUGAGACACGGCCCAGACUCCUACGGGAGGCAGCAGUGGGGAAUAUUGCACAAUGGGCGCAAGCCUGAUGCAGCGACGCCGCGUGAGGGAUGACGGCCUUCGGGUUGUAAACCUCUUUCAGCAGGGAAGAAGCCUUAAAAGAGUGACGGUACCUGCAGAAGAAGCACCGGCUAACUACGUGCCAGCCGCCGCGGUAA